AUUCCCUAUUCUGGUGUGUCUGAAGACAGUGACAGUGGACUCAUAUACAUAAAAUCUUUAAAAAAAAAAAAAAAAACAAGAGGGUUACUAUGACAAACUUGCCAAAUGUGUCUACUCCUACACUUACCCCGGUGGCCUCAUGAAAGUAUUCCACCAACAGAGAAUUGAAGAGUUCCACUCAUCACCUAGGAUCCUCUGACGCUUCAGAUGAGGGCAGGCUUGUAGAUCACUGAGCAGCCCACAAGGACAGUGUCCACUCCAAAGGGCCUUCAUGGUGAGCAAGGCCCAUCUUGAAGGGUACAAGAGUCCCCAAGACAGCAUAGACAACAAGAGCAUGUGGAAGAGGCCCAGGAUUCUCACCACCAAUCUCCCAAGGAGCACAGGCAAGGCUGGGACCUGGCUGAGGUGCAUGCAGAUGAAGUCCACCAAGAAAAAGUCAUGUAAGCCCUGGGGAAUCUACAAAGUCAUAAGACUGGGGUCCACCUCUCACAGUCAGACAGACUCCAGGUAAGUAUAGCGUAAGUCUCCCCACCUGCCUACUCUUGAGGGUAGGACCUCCCCUUCCCCACAACCAGGACUGAAAAUUCCCA
rnacentral:lncRNA from 1 species